rfam:Salmo salar isolate Sally breed double haploid chromosome ssa18, whole genome shotgun sequence.
UGCAUGCACUACUGUAAGUCGCUCUGGAUAAGAGCGUCUGCUAAAUGACUAAAA